GAACUGGUGAAAAACAUACGGUUCCAACUAAUGAAUCACAUACUUUCCCGCAAGUACAGUAAGUACUACCAGCUGUGUGACAGUCUUGCUUUGGCAGCGGAACCCGCAUUGAACAAGCCGGCCCAUCUGAAAGCAGCUGCAUUGAAAAACCACAAGCAAUGGAGCAGCCAGAGUCCCACGGGCCGGUCCGUGAAUCCGGUAAGGACACACUGCAAUGUUUUUACUGGCUUCCCGUCAGAUGGCACUUGGCUGCAGUACUCACUGGACUUUUAAUCAUCCCUUCUAAAGACACUCAUGAAAGAGGACUUCCAGAACUGAGGUGGAGUACUCUGAGGACUGUGCUUUUGUGCUAAUUUGUUGUUUAAAUACACUAUAUUUUUGACAAG
rnacentral:lncRNA from 1 species